AAGGAUGCAAUGAUAAGAGAGCAGAAGUUAAAACAAGGUCAAUCGAAAAGACAUCUGAUUGAAAGAAUACAAGAUAGUAUAAAUCUUUGUGAAUAAAAUUGAGUGCGGGAUAGUGGCGGACGGGUGAGUAACGCGUGAACAAUCUGCCCCGUACAAAGGGAUAGCCUCGGGAAACCGGGAUUAAAACCAUAUAACACUUAACUGCCGCAUGGUAGUGAAGUCAAAUCGAUUAAGAGGUAUGGGAUGAGUUCGCGUCUGAUUAGCUAGUUGGUGAGGUAAGGGCUCACCAAGGCGACGAUCAGUAGCCGGCCUGAGGGGGUGAACGGCCACACUGGAACUGAGACACGGUCCAGACUCCUACGGGAGGCAGCAGUGGGGAAUAUUGCACAAUGGAGGGAACUCUGAUGCAGCGACGCCGCGUGAGUGAAGAAGGUCUUCGGAUCGUAAAACUCUGUCCUUGGUGAAGAAAAGGACGGUAGCCAAGGAGGAAGCCCCGGCUAACUACGUG
rnacentral:rRNA from 1 species